GGGUCAGUAAAGUGAUAAAGUAGACACCCCGGUCUGUAAAACCGGUGCUUUCGAGCUCGAGUGGGUGCGAUUCCCUCCUGGCCCA
rnacentral:tRNA from 1 species